GGAAACGAAUGCUAAUACCGCAUAAAAACUUUAAACACAAGUUUUAAGUUUGAAAGAUGCAAUUGCAUCACUCAAAGAUGAUCCCGCGUUGUAUUAGCUAGUUGGUGAGGUAAAGGCUCACCAAGGCGAUGAUACAUAGCCGACCUGAGAGGGUGAUCGGCCACAUUGGGACUGAGACACGGCCCAAACUCCUACGGGAGGCAGCAGUAGGGAAUCUUCGGCAAUGGACGAAAGUCUGACCGAGCAACGCCGCGUGAGUGAAGAAGGUUUUCGGAUCGUAAAACUCUGUUGGUAGAGAAGAACGUUGGUGAGAGUGGAAAGCUCAUCAAGUGACGGUAACUACCCAGAAAGGGACGGCUAACUACGUGCCAGCAGCCGCGGUAAUACGUAGGUCCCGAGCGUUGUCCGGAUUUAUUGGGCGUAAAGCGAGCGCAGGUGGUUUAUUAAGUCUGGUGUAAAAGGCAGUGGCUCAACCAUUGUAUGCAUUGGAAACUGGUAGACUUGAGUGCAGGAGAGGAGAGUGGAAUUCCAUGUGUAGCGGUGAAAUGCGUAGAUAUAUGGAGGAACACCGGUGGCGAAAGCGGCUCUCUGGCCUGUAACUGACACUGAGGCUC
rnacentral:rRNA from 1 species